rnacentral:rRNA from 1 species
AUUGAACGCUGGCGGCAUGCCUUACACAUGCAAGUCGAACGGCAGCGGGGGAGAAGCUUGCUUUUCCUGCCGGCGAGUGGCGAACGGGUGAGUGAUACAUCGGAACGUGCCCUGUAGUGGGGGACAACUAGUCGAAAGAUUAGCUAAUACCGCAUACGACCUGAGGGUGAAAGUGGGGGACCGCAAGGCCUCAUGCUAUAGGAGCGGCCGAUGUCUGAUUAGCUAGUUGGUGGGGUAAAGGCCUACCAAGGCGACGAUCAGUAGCUGGUCUGAGAGGACGAUCAGCCACACUGGGACUGGGACACGGCCCAGACUCCUACGGGAGGCAGCAGUGGGGAAUUUUGGACAAUGGGCGAAAGCCUGAUCCAGCAAUGCCGCGUGUGUGAAGAAGGCCUUCGGGUUGUAAAGCACUUUUGUCCGGAAAGAAAUGGCUCUGGUUAAUACCUGGGGUCGAUGACGGUACCGGAAGAAUAAGGACCGGCUAACUACGUGCCAGCCGCCGCGGUAA